GCACAAGCGGCGGAGCAUGCGGAUUAAUUCGAUGCAACGCGAAGAACCUUACCAAGGCUUGACAUACACCGGUAAGCCCAGAGAUGGGUGCCCCUUUGUGGUCGGUGGACAGGUGGUGCAUGGUUGUCGUCAGCUCGUGUCGUGAGAUGUUGGGUUAAGUCCCGCAACGAGCGCAACCCUCGUCCUAUGUUGCCAGCGGGUCAUGCCGGGGACUCAUGGGAGACUGCCGGGGUCAACUCGGAGGAAGGUGGGGAUGACGUCAAAUCAUCAUGCCCCUUAUGUCUUGGGCUUCACGCAUGCUACAAUGGCCGGUACAAAGGGCUGCGAUACCGCGAGGUGGAGCGAAUCCCAGAAAGCCGGUCUCAGUUCGGAUUGGGGUCUGCAACUCGACCCCAUGAAGUCGGAGUCGCUAGUAAUCGCAGAUCAGCAACGCUGCGGUGAAUACGUUCCCGGGCCUU
rnacentral:rRNA from 1 species